rnacentral:tRNA from 1 species
AUUUAUAUAGUAUAAAAAUUAUAAUUGAUUUCCAAUCAAAAGACCUAAAUUAUUUUAGUAUAAAUA